rnacentral:rRNA from 1 species
UAAGGAAUAUUGGUCAAUGGACGGAAGUCUGAACCAGCCAUGCCGCGUGGAGGAUGAAGGCGCUACGCGUUGUAAACUUCUUUUAUGUAGGAAGAAAGCUACCGAUUCUUCGGUAUUUGACGGUACUACAGGAAUAAGCACCGGCUAACUCCGUGCCAGCAGCCGCGGUAAUACGGAGGGUGCAAGCGUUAUCCGGAUUCACUGGGUUUAAAGGGAGCGCAGGCGGGCUGGUAAGUCAGUGGUGAAAUCCUGGGGCUUAACCCCAGAACUGCCGUUGAUACUACUGGUCUUGAAUGCUGUGGAGAGAAGCGGAAUAGGUCAUGUAGCGGUGAAAUGCUUAGAUAUGACCUAGAACACCGAUUGCGAAGGCAGCUUUUUACACAGUAAUUGACGCUGAGGC